AAAAAAAAGGAUAGAGAAUAUGAAGUAAUUUUAGACAACAGAUUUGUCCAUUUAAGUAUUUUCAUUAUUUAUGUCUCAGAAAUGCAUAUGUUACAUGAGGAUCAAAUGUGAGAAACAUAGAAGCACCAGUAGAUCCAAAUAGCACCUUCACUGUAAUUUUCCAAUUUCCCUCAAUCCCCCAUCAGAUCUCCCCCCACCCCCAACCCCACGUAGACACAAAAAUAA
rnacentral:misc_RNA from 1 species